ACAGACCGCCUUAUCGUCGUCUCGUCUUUUGGGACGAGAGGGAGGAAAGUCCGGACACCUUAGAGAAGCAUAGCGGGUAACCCCCGUCGGUUUUGUCUGAAAAGGCGAGAUUAGGACAAGUGCAACAGAAAGUAUGUACAGGUAAUGCUGUAGUGAAACCAGGUAAACUCUAUGCGGUGAAAUAUCAAGUAUAUCAGCAUUUAAGGGCUUCUCGUCCGUUGUUGAAGGGUAGAUAGCUUGAGUCAUACAGUAAUGUAUGAUCUAGAUAAAUGAUAAGGGUCUCGAUUUAUCGGGAUACAGAAUCCGGCUUAUAGGUCUGUUUUU
rnacentral:RNase_P_RNA from 1 species